rnacentral:tRNA from 1 species
GUACCCGUAGCUUAGCUGGAUAAAGCGCUUCCCUCCGAAGGAAGAGAUCAGAAGUUCGAAUCUUCUCGGGUACACCA